AUUGAACGCUGGCGGAAUGCUUUACACAUGCAAGUCGAACGGCAGCACGGACUUCGGUCUGGUGGCGAGUGGCGAACGGGUGAGUAAUGUAUCGGAACGUGCCCAGUCGUGGGGGAUAACGUAGUGAAAAUUACGCUAAUACCGCAUACGAUCUAUGGAUGAAAGCGGGGGAUCGCAAGACCUCGCGCGAUUGGAGCGGCCGAUAUCAGAUUAGGUAGUUGGUGGGGGAAAGGCCCACCAAGCCAACGAUCUGUAGCUGGUCUGAGAGGACGACCAGCCACACUGGAACUGAGCCACGGUCCAGACUCAUACGGGAGGCAGCAGUGGGGAAUUUUGGACAAUGGGCGAAAGCCUGAUCCAGCCAUUCCGCGUGCAGGAUGAAGGCCCUCGGGUUGUAAACUGCUUUUGUACAGAACGAAAAGGUUUCUACUAAUACUAGGAGCUCAUGACGGUACUGUAAGAAUAAGCACCGGCUAACUACGUGCCAGCCGCCGCAGUAA
rnacentral:rRNA from 1 species